GUGGGGCUCUGGGCGGGCGGCUGCCGAGGCGCAGGCAGAGGCACAGGCCGCGCGCUCGCCUUCCCGCCGCGCCCGCGCCCCCGUUGGCUGGCGGCUCCGGGAGCGCAGGGCCCGCCGGCUGGGGCGCGAGCGUCUGGUGAAUCAGCCCAGCAGAGCGCGAGCGCCGGCGGCGGGGAGCCGCGGCGGAAAAUGGCUGAAGCGGCCGGCGGCUUUCUGGAGCAGCUCAAGUCCUGCAUCGUGUGGUCGUGGACGUACCUGUGGACCGUGUGGUUCUUCAUCGUGCUCUUCCUCGUCUACAUCCUGAGGGUGCCCUUGAAGCUCAGCGACAAUCUGAGCACAGUGAGCAUGUUUUUGAACACAUUAACACCGAAGUUCUACGUGGCCCUGACAGGCACUUCCUCACUAAUAUCAGGGCUAAUUUUGAUAUUUGAAUGGUGGUAUUUUCGCAAAUAUGGAACAUCCUUCAUUGAACAAGUCUCAGUAAGCCACUUGCGCCCCCUUCUGGGAGGUGUUGACAACAACUCUUCCAAUAAUUCUAAUUCCAGUAAUGGGGACUCAGAUUCCAACAGGCAAAGUGUCUCAGAGUGCAAAGUAUGGCGAAAUCCACUAAAUUUAUUUAGAGGUGCUGAAUAUAAUCGGUAUACUUGGGUAACAGGACGAGAGCCUCUGACUUACUAUGACAUGAAUCUCUCUGCCCAGGAUCACCAGACAUUCUUCACUUGUGAUUCAGACCAUCUUCGACCUGCAGAUGCAAUAAUGCAAAAAGCCUGGAGAGAGAGAAACCCUCAAGCUAGGAUUUCUGCAGCUCAUGAAGCUUUGGAGAUAAAUGAAAUUAGGUCCAGAGUUGAAGUUCCCCUAAUUGCUUCCUCUACCAUCUGGGAGAUAAAAUUGUUACCAAAGUGUGCAACUGCUUAUAUUCUUCUGGCUGAAGAGGAAGCAACAACUAUUGCUGAAGCAGAAAAACUCUUUAAGCAGGCCCUGAAGGCUGGGGAUGGCUGUUACCGGCGUUCUCAGCAGUUACAACAUCAUGGAUCCCAGUACGAAGCCCAGCAUAGACGAGACACCAAUGUCUUGGUUUACAUCAAGAGAAGACUAGCAAUGUGUGCUCGAAGACUUGGGAGGACGAGAGAAGCAGUGAAAAUGAUGAGAGAUUUAAUGAAGGAGUUCCCUCUCCUAAGCAUGUUCAACAUCCAUGAAAAUCUUCUAGAAGCCCUUCUGGAACUCCAAGCUUAUGCUGAUGUUCAGGCAGUCUUAGCAAAGUAUGAUGAUAUAAGCUUACCAAAGUCAGCAACAAUAUGCUACACAGCCGCCUUGCUCAAAGCAAGAGCUGUCUCUGACAAAUCGCCAGUACCUACUGCAACAUCUUUUCUCCCUACACAGCGACUCCAGCUUGGGAGGGCAGGGCCAGGGUUGUCACAGCUUCCCCUGUGGUGUCUGCCUGCCAAGCACAGCUCUGGAGUUAGCCCUGGGUGUGAGAUUCUCUCCAGAGGCUGCAUCUCGGCGAGGGCUGAGCACAGCAGAGAUGAAUGCAGUAGAGGCUAUUCACAGAGCUGUGGAAUUUAAUCCGCACGUGCCAAAAUAUCUACUAGAAAUGAAAAGUUUAAUCCUUCCUCCAGAACACAUCCUGAAGAGAGGUGACAGUGAAGCAAUAGCGUAUGCAUUCUUUCAUCUUGCACACUGGAAGAGGGUAGAAGGGGCUUUGAAUCUCUUGCAUUGCACGUGGGAAGGCACUUUUCGAAUGAUCCCUUAUCCCUUGGAGAAGGGGCACCUAUUUUAUCCAUACCCAAUCUGUACAGAAACAGCAGACCGGGAGCUGCUUCCCUCUUUCCAUGAAGUCUCAGUUUACCCAAAGAAGGAGCUCCCCUUCUUUAUCCUCUUCACUGCUGGAUUGUGUUCCUUCACAGCCAUGCUGGCCCUCCUGACACAUCAGUUCCCUGAACUUAUGGGGGUCUUCGCAAAAGCUUUCCUCAGCACUUUGUUUGCUCCCUUGAACUUUGUUAUGGAGAAAGUGGAAAGCAUCCUCCCCUCCAGUUUGUGGCAUCAGCUGACACGGAUCUGAGGGGAGGGAGCUGCCCAUUCUUCACUUUCUUCACCCUGCCACCAUCUCUUCCAUGCCAAUUCCUUGUGGACCACAAGAAAGCAUGACUUUGAAAAAGGGAAGCCAUUCCGAGAUUUUGAACUGUUCAUGGACUAUCUGUUCCAUAUUGAAAGUUGUUUUUGUUGUACAAAAUUCAUGUUCAGUUCUAUUUUAUUUUGUCUCCAAAAAACAAACAAAAAGAUAAAAAAAUAAACUUUUGUGUAUUGCAACAACCAGUUGUGUUUUCUUAUCUUCUUUACAACUUUAAAAGUGCCAUUCUUCCCAAUAAAUCAGAGAGUAUACCUUG